UGUAGCGAAGUUCCUGAUGUCACACUGCCAAGAAAAGCUUCUAGUGAGAAAGUAACUGCCCGUACCGCAAACCGACACAAGUAGUUGAGGAGAGAAUCCUAAGGUGUGCGAGAGAACUCUCGUUAAGGAACUCGGCAAAAUGACCCCGUAACUUCGGGAGAAGGGGUGCUGACCGCAAGGUCAGCCGCAGUGAAUAGGUCCAAGCGACUGUUUAUCAAAAACACAGGUCUCUGCAAAAUCGAAAGAUGACGUAUAGGGGCUGACGCCUGCCCGGUGCUGGAAGGUUAAGAGGAGAGGUUAGCGCAAGCGAAGCUUUGAAUUGAAGCCCCAGUAAACGGCGGCCGUAACGAUAACGGUCCUAAGGUAGCGAAAUUCCUUGUCGGGUAAGUUCCGACCCGCACGAAAGGCGUAACGAUUUGGGCACUGUCUCAACGAGAGACUCGGUGAAAUUAUAGUACCAGUGAAGAUGCUGGUUACCCGCGACAGGACGGAAAGACCCCAUGGAGCUUUACUGCAGUUUGAUAUUGCGUGUUUGUAUCACAUGUACAGGAUAGGUAGGAGCCGAAGAUACCGGGACGCCAGUCUCGGAGGAGGCAACGGUGGGAUACUACCCUUGUGAUAUGACCACUCUAACCCGCUGCUCUUAGCGAGCAGGGAGACAGUGUCAGACGGGCAGUUUGACUGGGGCGGUCGCCUCCAAAAAUGUAACGGAGGCGCCCAAAGGUUCCCUCAGAAUGGUUGGAAAUCAUUCGUAGAGUGUAAAGGCAGAAGGGAGCUUGACUGCGAGACCUACAAGUCGGGCAGGGACGAAAGUCGGGCUUAGUGAUCCGGUGGUUCCGCAUGGAAGGGCCAUCGCUCAACGGAUAAAAGCUACCCUGGGGAUAACAGGCUUAUCUCCCCCAAGAGUUCACAUCGACGGAGAGGUUUGGCACCUCGAUGUCGGCUCAUCGCAUCCUGGGGCUGUAGUCGGUCCCAAGGGUUGGGCUGUUCGCCCAUUAAAGCGGUACGCGAGCUGGGUUCAGAACGUCGUGAGACAGUUCGGUCCCUAUCCGUCGCGGGCGUUGGAAAUUUGAGAGGAGCUGUCCUUAGUACGAGAGGACCGGGAUGGACACACCGCUGGUGUACCAGUUGUUCUGCCAAGAGCAUCGCUGGGUAGCUAUGUGUGGACGGGAUAAACGCUGAAAGCAUCUAAGCGUGAAGCCCCCCUCAAGAUGAGAUUUCCCAUCACUUUAAGUGAGUAAGACCCCUGAGAGAUGAUCAGGUGGAUAGGUUGGGAGUGGAAGUACAGCGAUGUAUGGAGCGGACCAAUACUAAUCGGUCGAGGACUUAACCU
rnacentral:rRNA from 1 species